rnacentral:snoRNA from 1 species
GGCCACGCCGAUUUGCCGUCAGAGAGUGAAAUCCCUUGGGAUAGUCGCUCUGAUGGCAGUGUACUCAGUGGCAUAUUAAAAAAUUGGUCACUCUUCUUAAUUUGGGUCUUUUGUUCGCAUUCCAUUGACUUUUGGCCUUAACAAAGAAAGAGACA